GACGUAGGAGGCGAGCGUUAUCCGGAUUCACUGGGCGUAAAGCGCACGUAGGCGGACUCUUAAGUCGGUGGUGAAAUCCUGGAGCUCAACUCCAGAACUGCCUUCGAUACUGAGAGUCUCGAGUCCGGGAGAGGUGAGUGGAACUGCGAGUGUAGAGGUGAAAUUCGUAGAUAUUCGGAAGAACACCAGUGGCGAAGGCGGCUCACUGGCCCGGUACUGACGCUGAGGUGCGAAAGCGUGGGGAGCAAACAGG
rnacentral:rRNA from 1 species